rnacentral:rRNA from 1 species
AGUGAACGCUGGCGGUAGGCCUAACACAUGCAAGUCGAACGGCAGCACAGUAAGAGCUUGCUCUUACGGGUGGCGAGUGGCGGACGGGUGAGGAAUACAUCGGAAUCUACUUUUUCGUGGGGGAUAACGUAGGGAAACUUACGCUAAUACCGCAUACGACCUACGGGUGAAAGCAGGGGAUCUUCGGACCUUGCGCGAUUGAAUGAGCCGAUGUCGGAUUAGCUAGUUGGCGGGGUAAAGGCCCACCAGGGCGACGAUCCGUAGCUGGUCUGAGAGGAUGAUCAGCCACACGGGAACUGAGACACGGUCCAGACGCCUACGGGAGGCAGCAGUGGGGAAUAUUGGACAAUGGGCGCAAGCCUGAUCCAGCCAUACCGCGUGGGUGAAGAAGGCCUUCGGGUUGUAAAGCCCUUUUGUUGGGAAAGAAAAGCAGCAGGUUAAUACCCCGCUGUUCUGACGGUACCCAAAGAAUAAGCACCGGCUAACUUCGU